GAAAUGCGAUAAGUAAUGUGAAUUGCAGAAUUCAGUGAAUCAUCGAAUCUUUGAACGCACCUUGCGCUCCUUGGUAUUCCUUGGAGCAUGCCUGUUUGAGUAUCAUGAAAUCUUCAAAGUAAAUCUUUUGUUAACUCAAUUGGUUUCUACUUUGGUAUUGGAGGUCUUUGCAGCUUCACACCUGCUCCUCUUUGUUCAUUAGCUGGAUCUCAGUGUUAUGCUUGGUUCCACUCGGCGUGAUAAGUUAUCUAUCGCUGAGGACACUGUAAAAGGUGGCCAAGGUAAAUGCAGAUGAACCGCUUCUAAUAGUCCAUUGACUUGGACAAUACUUUUAUGAUCUGAUCUCAAAUCAGGUAGGACUACCCGUUGAACUUAAGC
rnacentral:misc_RNA from 1 species